UUGAUAUGCCGCUCUAUCGCUUCCGGGAAGCCGGAAGAGGAAAGUCCGGACAACGUAGAGUACCACACCACCUAACGGGUGGGACUGCGCUUCGGUGCAGUACAGCUUAGUGUCACAGAAAAUAACCACCACGACUUUCGGGUCGUGGUAAGGGUGAAAAUGAGAGGUAAGAGCUCUCGUGGCGGGGCAGCAAUGUGUCGUCAGGACAAACCUUGUGGGUUGAAAUGCCAUGUACAUUCGUAUUCCUGUCAAAGGACAAAAUUGACUCGGUUUUGUUGUCGAAAGACAUAUACGGAGGGGUAGGCAGCUUAGAUAAAUGAUAGAGAUCACGCUUCCGGGUGUGAUACAGAAUCCGGCUUACAGGCAUAUUUUUUAA
rnacentral:RNase_P_RNA from 1 species